AGAGUUUGAUCCUGGCUCAGAACGAACGCUGGCGGCAGGCUUAACACAUGCAAGUCGAGCGAGGACUUCGGUCCUAGCGGCGGACGGGUGAGUAACGCGUGGGAACGUGCCCUUUGCUACGGAAUAGUCCCUGGAAACGGGGUUUAAUACCGUAUGGCCUCUUUGGAGGAAAGAUUUAUCGGCAGAGGAUCGGCCCGCGUUGGAUUAGGUAGUUGGUGGGGUAAAGGCCUACCAAGCCGACGAUCCAUAGCUGGUUUGAGAGGAUGAUCAGCCACACUGGGACUGAGACACGGCCCAGACUCCUACGGGAGGCAGCAGUGGGGAAUCUUAGACAAUGGGGGCAACCCUGAUCUAGCCAUGCCGCGUGAGCGAUGAAGGCCUUAGGGUUGUAAAGCUCUUUCGCUGGGGAAGAUAAUGACGGUACCCAGUAAAGAAGCCCCGGCUAACUCCGUGCCAGCAGCCGCGGUAAUACGGAGGGGGCUAGCGUUGUUCGGAAUUACUGGGCGUAAAGCGCGCGUAGGCGGAUUGGAAAGUUGGGGGUGAAAUCCCGGGGCUCAACCCCGGAACUGCCUCCAAAACUAUCAGUCUGGAGUUCGAGAGAGGUGAGUGGAAUUGCGAGUGUA
rnacentral:rRNA from 1 species